GCCCGAGUGGCGGAAUUGGUAGACGCGCUAGAUUUAGGAUCUAGUAUCUUACGGUGUGGGGGUUCGACUCCCCCCUUGGGCACCA
rnacentral:tRNA from 1 species